AACGAACGCUGGCGGCAUGCCUAACACAUGCAAGUCGAACGAGAUCUUCGGGUCUAGUGGCGCACGGGUGCGUAACGCGUGGGAAUCUGCCCUUUGGAUCGGAAUAACAGGUGGAAACGACUGCUAAUACCGGAUGAUGACGAAAGUCCAAAGAUUUAUCGCCAGAGGAUGAGCCCGCGUAGGAUUAGCUAGUUGGUGUGGUAAAGGCGCACCGAGGCGACGAUCCUUAGCUGGUCUGAGAGGAUGAUCAGCCACACUGGGACUGAGACACGGCCCAGACUCCUACGGGAGGCAGCAGUGGGGAAUAUUGGACAAUGGGCGAAAGCCUGAUCCAGCAAUGCCGCGUGAGUGAUGAAGGCCUUAGGGUUGUAAAGCUCUUUUACCCGGGAUGAUAAUGACAGUACCGGGAGAAUAAGCUCCGGCUAACUCCGUGCCAGCCGCCGCAGUAA
rnacentral:rRNA from 1 species